AACGCACCUUGCGCCCCUUGGCUAUUCCGAGGGGCAUGCCUGUUUGAGUAUCAUGAACACCUCAACUCUCAUGGUUUGCCGUGAUGAGCUUGGACUCUGGGGGUUUUGCUGGCCUGCGGUCGGCUCCCCUCAAAUGAAUCAGCCUCCCAGUGUUUGGUGGCAUCACGGGUGUGAUAAAUAUCUACGCUCGCAGUUGUCCGCCAGGUAACCUUUGGUAACAAAGGUUCGCUGGAGCUCACAGAUGUCUCUCCUCAGCGAGGACAGCUUUUUGAACGUUCGAUCUCAAAUCAGGUAGGACUACCCGCUGAACUUAA
rnacentral:misc_RNA from 1 species